rnacentral:tRNA from 1 species
GCCUCGGUGGUCUAAAGGCUUAGGACGCUCGUCCGGAAAACAAGAGAUCUGGGUUCGAUUCCCGGCCGAGAUA